UAGCCUUGACAUUGAUAGAACACUUUAGAGAUAGAGUGGUGCCCUUUUGGGAGCUUGAAAACAGGUGCUGCACGGCUGUCGUCAGCUCGUGUCGUGAGAUGUUGGGUUAAGUCCCGCAACGAGCGCAACCCUCGCCAAUAGUUAAUAACAGUUCGGCUGAUGACCCUAUUGGGACUGUCUUCGUAAGGAGGAGGAAGGUGAGGACGACGUCAAGUCAUCAUGGCCCUUAUGGCUAGGGCUACACACGUGCUACAAUGGGGUGUACAGAGUGUUGCGAUACCGUGAGGUGGAGCCAAUCACUUAAAGCAUCUCUCAGUUCGGAUUGAAGUCUGCAACUCGACUUCAUGAAGCUGGAAUCACUAGUAAUCGUAGAUCAGCAAUGCUACGGUGAAUACGUUCCCGGGUCU
rnacentral:rRNA from 1 species